ACGGAGGGUGCAAGCGUUGUCCGGAAUCAUUGGGCGUAAAGAGUGCGUAGGCGGUAUGUUAAGUCAGGUGUUAAAUCCCGGAGCUCAACCCCGGAACUGCACUUGAAACUAUUAAACUUGAGUAGGGUAGAGGUAAGGGGAAUUCCUGGUGUAGAGGUGAAAUGCGUAGAUAUCAGGAGGAACACCGGUGGCGAAGGCGACUUUCUGGGCCUAUACUGACGCUGAGACGCGAGAGCGUGGGUAGCAAACAG
rnacentral:rRNA from 1 species